AUUUUUUUUUGUGAUGAGUAGUUUCUCUCUAACCCAAAUAGAGAAGAAUAGGAUAUUGCGGUUCCACAUGAAUUGGUUUGUGUGGAUCCGGAACUCGAUCCCGACAAAGCAUCUCCAUAGUCUAGGGUAAUCUACAUAGGCAAGACAAGCAACCAUUAGAAAUAUAAUAACAGGAUGAGGAGUACUCGAUUCUCCUUCCAUCUUCGUUGGUUUGAUAUUUAGGGUUCUUGAAUUCUCUCUGGUGUGUUAGACCAGGAUUAACCUAUAUCUUAGCUGGGCUCUGUAAGAGUCGGGUUUUUUGAAGCCCUACGGAGGAGACGCCUCUUGCGACUAUUCUUCUUCUCUCUCUCUCCUUUUCCCACAGUGAAUCGUUUCUUCUCAGACCAAAUUCAGUCAAAAUCAGCUUUGAGAGAGAGAUCUAUUCUUGUUCUUCGCCUCUGUGGCCGUGCUUGCGUAGCCGGCGAAGCAAAGCUCCCAUCAGACCCCAUCGCCGAAAGUGAGCCAAAUCGGUCAGAGAGAAAUAGAGAUAGGAGCUAUUCUGUGAUCUCCGAGUUGCAGAACAUAAGCAAUUUGAUGGAGAUGGGAAUCUGUUGCAUAAGAUUGACACUCGGCUCUCUGCUAGUUCAUAUGGAGAAGAUGAGCUCAUUAGCCUUAAUCAAUCGUUAUAUAUAAAGCAGGCAACGUCAGCCACUUCAGUUGCUGAUGAAGAGGAAGAGGAAGCUGAGUGGGUAGAAUACAAAAUCAAAGAAACCAAUAUGUUCACUGUCGACAAGUAUCAACAGAUUGGAUUCUUCCCCAAGGAGAGAGUCUUUUCAUUGAGGUAUCAAACCGCUGGAAUGUUGGAUACCACCUUAGGGUAAGGCGUUCUCGGAGACGAUGACACUGGAGAAGAAUCACCAAGGUUUGGUUUAUUGCAUUCUUUAUGAAACAUAGCAUAAGCAAAUAGGCUAGAAGAGUGUUGCUGAGUUGAAGUCAUUCCAUUUAGAGUUCUGCUGGCUUGAAUCGUCGGGGUCAAGACAGAGACUCGUACGUACAUAUGACCAUGAAGGUCUUGCUGUCUCAUCAACUUAUUUUUCUGAGACCAAAGUGUGAGUUUCUUCUAUGUUAACGACACUAUGACCAUCUAUGUUCUUGUACUGUCUGAGACCAAAGUAUGAGUUUC